UACGGGGGGGGCAAGCGUUGUUCGGAAUUACUGGGCGUAAAGGGCGCGUAGGCGGCCUGUUAAGUCACACGUGAAAUCCCUCGGCUCAACCGGGGAACUGCGUGUGAUACUGGCGGGCUUGAAUUCGGGAGAGGGAUGUGGAAUUCCAGGUGUAGCGGUGAAAUGCGUAGAUAUCUGGAGGAACACCCGUAGCGAAGGCGGCACUCUGGGCCGGUACUGACGCUGAGGAGCGAAAGCGUGGGGAGCAAACAGG
rnacentral:rRNA from 1 species